GCUAGGCAGCACUCUAUUUCUGUCGGGGUUCUGACAGGAGAAGAGCAGGUGCAGCACAAUGAACAACUGCAGACCAUCGUUUAGUCGUCAAAGCGGCAGAAUUGGAGCUCUGGAGACUUAUGGAACAAGACUACUGGGACG